rnacentral:rRNA from 1 species
AGUCAUAUGCUUGUCUCAAAGAUUAAGCCAUGCAUGUCUCAGUACAAGCCAAAUUAAGGUGAAACCGCGAAAGGCUCAUUAAAUCAGUUAUGGUUCCUUAGAUCGUACACACAUUUACUUGGAUAACUGUGGUAAUUCUAGAGCUAAUACAUGCAAACAGAGCUCCGACCGGAGACGGAAGGAGCGCUUUUAUUAGAUCAAAACCAAUCGGCGGCGGGUUCGCUCGUCGUCGUACACCUUGGUGAAUCUGAAUAACUUUCUGCUGAUCGCAUGGUCUAGCACCGGCGACGCAUCUUUCAAAUGUCUGCCUUAUCAACUGUCGAUGGUAGGUUCUGCGCCUACCAUGGUUGUAACGGGUAACGGGGAAUCAGGGUUCGAUUCCGGAGAGGGAGCCUGAGAAACGGCUACCACAUCCAAGGAAGGCAGCAGGCGCGCAAAUUACCCACUCCCGGCACGGGGAGGUAGUGACGAAAAAUAACGAUACGGGACUCAUCCGAGGCCCCGUAAUCGGAAUGAGUACACUCUAAACCCUUUAACGAGGAUCAAUUGGAGGGCAAGUCUGGUGCCAGCAGCCGCGGUAAUUCCAGCUCCAAUAGCGUAU